GUUUGUAGAGGAGAUAAAGUGAAAGCACAAGUAAUGCAGAUCACCUUGUCAGCCUCUAGUGGAAAGAAUGCAGUGGGAUAAGGAUAAAUUUAACACUGAGGCAGGAAACAGACGUUACUGGUAUUUCAGGAAUCAAAAGAGAACUUCAGCUGUGAUAGAAACGGAGCAAGAACAUCUCCAGGAUCACUCAGUGCUGGAAGGGAAAGCAUCAUGUUAUUACAAACUGAAUGCAGCACAUUCGUGCUGUGGGGCUAGACAACAUUCUCAGACUCUGAUGUGAGUGAAGAUGCUUAAAUCUAAAUAAAAGCAGUAUUUAGAUA